AAAUAGCUGUAAAACGACAUGGCCAUCUGCUGAUAGAAAACUGUAUAACUUCUAAAAGGUCCUGCAAGUCCCCAGUGGGAAGAUGUCCCUAGAGGUACGCAUGUCACUGCAGAAGCUCAGAUGCUUAAGGAACUCCAAGGUCUUUUAUUCACCUUUUCAUAGUUUUACAUGGUGGGAAGAGAAUAAAAGUUGCAAAAAACUCCUGAAUAUAAAGGCAGUUACACAACAUAAUGUAAAACUCUAAUUAGACUUCUAAGUGAUGUGCCACCAAUACUCUGCAAGAAAUAAAAAUCUCUAUCCAAAUC